GGCCUCGUGCUCCGUUGGUUCGGGCACCCUGGUUCUCAGCCAGGACUACGCGGGUUCGAUUCCCGCCGGGGUCACCA
rnacentral:tRNA from 1 species